GGAGGAAUAUUGGUCAAUGGAGGUAACUCUGAACCAGCCAAGUAGCGUGCAGGAUGACGGCCCUAUGGGUUGUAAACUGCUUUUAUGCGGGGAUAAACUGACUCACGUGUGGGUCAUUGCAGGUACCGCAUGAAUAAGGACCGGCUAAUUCCGUGCCAGCAGCCGCGGUAAUACGGAAGGUCCGGGCGUUAUCCGGAUUUAUUGGGUUUAAAGGGAGCGUAGGCCGGAGAUUAAGCGUGUUGUGAAAUGUAGUGGCUCAACCUCUGCACUGCAGCGCGAACUGGUCUUCUUGAGUACGCACAACGUGGGCGGAAUUCGUGGUGUAGCGGUGAAAUGCUUAGAUAUCACGAAGAACUCCGAUUGCGAAGGCAGCUCACGGGAGCGCAACUGACGCUGAAGCUCGAAAGUGCGGGUAUCGAACAGGAUUAGAUACCCUGGUAGU
rnacentral:rRNA from 1 species